rnacentral:miRNA from 1 species
CUUUCAGUCGGAUAUUUACAGC